UGAUUAAGAAGGAACAACUGAU
rnacentral:miRNA from 1 species